rnacentral:lncRNA from 1 species
AUGCUGAGAUUUCUCAUACCACAGAACAUGAGCAGUCCAGGCAAGGAGUUCCAACGGACAGAAUUCAGCCAGCAAAAGAAGACACUGUACAGGGGAGUAAGACUGCCUGCUGCUUCCAAGUGUGGUGUUGCAGGCAAACUACAAUCUUGCUGCUCAAAUGUUAAGCACUUGACAGAAUACGGGUGUUUACCUGGCUACUCAACCUUAGAGAAAGAGACUACAGUGUUCUGUGACUACAGGAGGAACAGCAGCUAUGGAAUUGCUGAGCCAGAUAACAAACAUGAAUGUGCUUUCUCAGGAGGUGGAAUACGCUGCAAGUUUGGAAUCCAGUCCCUAGAGAACUAGUCUUUUCAAUGCAGUUCAUAUAAACUGUGUAGGACUUCUUGUGGAAACAAGUAAAUAAAAAACCUUUCCAGCUACUACA